GGGCCGGUCGUCUAAUGGUAGGACACUUCCCUUGCAAGGAAGAGGCUCUGGGUUCGAAUCCCAGCCGGUCCA
rnacentral:tRNA from 1 species